rnacentral:rRNA from 1 species
UUACAUUUGAGUGAGUGGCGAACUGGUGAGUAACACGUGGGAAACCUGCCCAGAAGCGGGGGAUAACACCUGGAAACAGAUGCUAAUACCGCAUAACAACUUGGACCGCAUGGUCCGAGUUUGAAAGAUGGCUUCGGCUAUCACUUUUGGAUGGUCCCGCGGCGUAUUAGCUAGAUGGUGGGUAACGGCUCACCAUGGCAAUGAUACGUAGCCGACCUGAGAGGGUAAUCGGCCACAUUGGGACUGAGACACGGCCCAAACUCCUACGGGAGGCAGCAGUAGGGAAUCUUCCACAAUGGACGAAAGUCUGAUGGAGCAACGCCGCGUGAGUGAAGA